rnacentral:rRNA from 1 species
AGAUUGAACGCUGGCGGCAUGCCUAACACAUGCAAGUCGAACGGCAGCGCGGGUAGCAAUACCUGGCGGCGAGUGGCGGACGGGUGAGGAAUACAUAGGAAUCUACCCUGUCGUGGGGGAUAACGUAGGGAAACUUACGCUAAUACCGCAUACGACCGAGAGGUGAAAGCGGCGGACCGCAAGGCGUCGCGCGGCUGGAUGAGCCUAUGUCCGAUUAGCUAGGUUGGGCGGGGUAAGACGCCCACGAAGGCGACGAUCGGUAGCGUGGUCUGAGAGGAUGAUCACGCCACAGUGGGACUGGACGACCGACCGGCCCAGGACCUCCGG